ACUCGCAAUCCCGCACUAAACGGCGAAGGCGACUCGAACAUCCUCCGCCCGGCAACCCUCCUCAUCCUCCACAAUCGUUCUUGCUCCGCCCGCGUCGCUAUUCCUCGUCCGCCUGCGACGGAAACUUGCACUCCCGCAUGGAGAGCUAAGUUAGGCCGUCGACUUGCCUCACUCAACACGGUCCAUCGAAAUCGGAGGCCCAUGAACUAAAUCGGAAGAAUGGUGCUCCUUCAUGUUCGUAGACCAGACCCAUCAACGGAACGGACAUAACGGUUCUCCUUCUACACGAGUUAACUCUAUUUUCCGGCGCUUUAAUGAUGGAUUCAUGAUGGUAAUUUCGACCCAUUUAUCAUUCCUGUGAUUAUGACGAUUAAUCCUAGCGUUACCCUUCUCCUUCAUAUAAAUAUGUGGGCACAGGACCCUAUUUUUCCUCACUACUUCCAUCCGACAUUGGAAACCUCAUUGUUCAUCGGAGAUGCUCUUUCCAUAUCUUUCUCCCCUUCCGCUUCCUCCUUACUGCAUGGUGAAAUGUUUGGCAAAGAGAGGCGGUGAAAGGGGAGCAACGCCAAAUCAACCCAAUGUUCUUGCGAAGGUUGAAACAUUUCCCAAUAAAUAUCUAAUUGCAAGGAACAAGCUGCUGCAGUAGACGUCUCUUCCUUUGCUUCUGCUGAGGAGUACCCGCCGAUUGUAUGUUCCUGUGAUUCUCUUAAUUUAGGGAUUAGGCUCGAUCUGCUCUGACUACAUGAUUCUAAGACAUUAUUCCAGGUGCCAUCUAAAGAUUUAUGGCAACAACAAACUGUGACUUGGGCCCAACUGAGCUGGUGUAGAGGUGAUAGUCUAGCUUUGGUCUUGAGGGAGUUGGCUGGCAGGUUGAUUGAUGGCAUGUGCCACAACUCUGGAGGCAGAGGAUCCCAACCGUCUAUGUGGCUGUUUUCCCUCCGGCAUAGUGUUGAGCAGCGACCUCUUUUUUCCUGAGGGAGGGCGCCAGCCUCUUCUUCUUUCAUAGAGGCAUGACCACAAGAUCAAAACAACUGCAGAACCACAACAAGACUCAUUUGCUUGUUUGUUGAUGAUAUGCUUCGGAUUAAUCUUUCAUUGAGGUUGUCGGUUGGUCCUUAUAUUUUGAGUUGUCGAGACACAAUGAUGUUACUAUGAAUAUUUGCAUAUUUUGUGUUAGUAGUUGAAAUUGAACACAUUAGACACUAAAGGUACACGGAUGUUGUUUGAAAAGU